rnacentral:rRNA from 1 species
GAUGAACGCUAGCGGCAGGCCUAAUACAUGCAAGUCGAACGCGGGGUAGCAAUACCUCGAGUGGCGCACGGGUGCGUAACGCGUAACCAACCUGCCCUUGACUGGGGGAUAGCCCGCCGAAAGGCGGAUUAAUACCGCAUAAACCAGCAGCCUGGCAUCAGGCAACUGGUAAAGAUUUAUUGGCCAAGGAUGGGGUUGCGUGACGUUAGCUAGUUGGCGGGGUAACGGCCCACCAAGGCGACGAUGUCUAGGGGACCUGAGAGGGUGAUCCCCCACACUGGCACUGAGAUACGGGCCAGACUCCUACGGGAGGCAGCAGUAGGGAAUAUUGGGCAAUGGGCGAGAGCCUGACCCAGCCAUGCCGCGUGCCGGAUGAAGGCCUUCUGGGUUGUAAACGGCUUUUCUCAGGGAAGAAAACGACCAUGCGUGGUACACUGACGGUACCUGAGGAAUAAGCACCGGCUAACUCCGUGCCAGCAGCCGCCGUAAAAC